rnacentral:rRNA from 1 species
UUUGAUCAUGGCUCAGAACGAACGUUGGCGGCGUGGAUUAGGCAUGCAAGUCGAGCGGGAUUCUAUUUUUUCAAUUCUUCGGAAGAGAAGUUUUAGAUGAGAGCGGCGAACGGGUUAGUAAUAUAUGGGUAAUUUGCCUCUUUGUUCGGGAUAGUCAUUGGAAACGAUGAGUAAUACCGGAUGUGUUCGCCCCGCACCUGCGGGGUUAUAUAAAGGCGGGGAAUCUUCGGAUCCUGUCGCAAAGAGAUAAGCCCAUAUCCUAUCAGCUAGUUGGUGAGGUAACGGCUCACCAAGGCUUACGGGUAGCUGGUCUGAGAGGAUGAUCAGCGACACUGGAACUGAGACACGGUCCAGACUCCUACGGGAGGCUGCAGUCGAGAAUCAUUGUCAAUGCACGAAAGUGUGAACAUGCGACGCCGCGUGGAGGAAGACGGCGUUUGGGUUGUAAACUCCUGUCAGCAGGGAGGAAGGACAGUAUCACUAAUAUUGAUGCUGUUUGACAGUACCUGCAGAGGAAGUCACGGCUAACUCUGUGCCAGCGGCCGCGGUAAUACAGAGGUGGCGAACGUUGUUCGGAUUUACUGGGCGUAAAGGGUCCGCAGGCGGCUCGGUGUGUCAGAUGUGAAAGCCCACGGCUUAACCGUGGAAUUGCAUUUGAAACUGCCGGGCUAGAGUACUGGAGGGGAGAAGGGAACACUUGGUGUAGCGGUGAAAUGCGUAGAUAUCAAGUGGAACACCGGAGGCGAAGGCGCUUCUCUGGACAGAUACUGACGCUCAUGGACGAAAGUUAGGGUAGCGAAAGGGAUUAGAUACCCCUGUAGUCCUAACCGUAAACGGUGUGCACUAGACGUGGGUGGAUUUACCCCCAUCCGUGUCUGAGCUAACGCAUUAAGUGCACCGCCUGGGGAGUACGGUCGCAAGAUUAAAACUCAAAGGAAUUGACGGG